rnacentral:rRNA from 1 species
GAUGAACGCUGGCGGCGUGCCUAAUACAUGCAAGUCGAGCGAACGGACGAGAAGCUUGCUUCUCUGAUGUUAGCGGCGGACGGGUGAGUAACACGUGGAUAACCUACCUAUAAGACUGGGAUAACUUCGGGAAACCGGAGCUCAUACCGGAUAAUAUUUUGAACCGCAUGGUUCAAAAGUGAAAGACGGUCUUGCUGUCACUUCUAGAUGGAUCCGCGCUGCAUUAGCUAGUUGGUAAGGUAACGGCUUACCAAGGCAACGAUGCAUAGCCGACCUGAGAGGGUGAUCGGCCACACUGGAACUGAGACACGGUCCAGACUCCUACGGGAGGCAGCAGUAGGGAAUCUUCCGCAAUGGGCGAAAGCCUGACGGAGCAACGCCGCGUGAGUGAUGAAGGUCUUCGGAUCGUAAAACUCUGUUAUUAGGGAAGAACAUAUGUGUAAGUAACUGUGCACAUCUUGACGGUACCUAAUCAGAAAGCCACGGCUAACUACGUG